rnacentral:rRNA from 1 species
AACGAACGCUGGCGGCAUGCCUAACACAUGCCAGUCGAACGAGACCUUCGGGUUUAGUGGCGCACGGGUGCGUAACGCGUGGGAACCUGCCCUUAGGUUCGGAAUAACUCCCCGAAAGGGGUGCUAAUACCGGAUAAUGUCUUCGGACCAAAGAUUUAUCGCCUUUGGAUGGGCCCGCGUUGGAUUAGCUAGUUGGUAGGGUAAAAGCCUACCAAGGCGACGAUCCAUAGCUGGUCUGAGAGGAUGAUCAGCCACACUGGGACUGAGACACGGCCCAGACUCCUACGGGAGGCAGCAGUGGGGAAUAUUGGACAAUGGGCGAAAGCCUGAUCCAGCAAUGCCGCGUGAGUGAUGAAGGCCUUAGGGUUGUAAAGCUCUUUUACCCGGGAUGAUAAUGACAGUACCGGGAGAAUAAGCGCCGGCUAACUCCGUG